rnacentral:rRNA from 1 species
GCUAUCUGCAGUCGAGGGGCAGCGCAGUGUAGCAAUACAUGGGCGGCGACCGGCAAACGGGUGCGGAACACGUACGCAACCUUCCUUCAAAUGGGAGAUAGCCCACCGAGAGGUGGAUUAAUAUCCCGUAACAUUUUCUGGUGGCAUCACUGGAUUAUUAUAGCUCCGGCGUUUGAAGAUGGGCGUGCGCCUGAUUAGGUAGAUGGCGGAGUAACAGCCCACCAAGCCUACGAUCAGUAACUGGUGUGAGAGCACGACCAGUCACACGGGCACUGAGACACGGGCCCGACUCCUACGGGAGGCAGCAGUAAGGAAUAUUGGUCAAUGGACGCAAGUCUGAACCAGCCAUGCCGCGUGGAGGAUGAAGGUCCUCUGGAUUGUAAACUUCUUUUAUCGGAGAAGAAACCCAGACAUUCUUGUUUGGUUGACGGUACCCGAUGAAUAAGCACCGGCUAACUCCGUGCCAGCAGCCGCGGUAAUACGGAGGGUGCAAGCGUUAUCCGGAUUCACUGGGUUUAAAGGGUGCGUAGGUGGGUUGGUAAGUCAGUGGUGAAAUCUCCGGGCUUAACUCGGAAACUGCCGUUGAUACUAUCAAUCUUGAAUAUUGUGGAGGUAAGCGGAAUAUGUCAUGUAGCGGUGAAAUGCUUAGAUAUGACAUAGAACACCGAUAGCGAAGGCAGCUUGCUACACAAUUAUUGACACUGAGGCACGAAAGCGUGGGGAUCAAACAGGAUUAGAUACCCUGGUAGUCCACGCCCUAAACGAUGGAUACUCGACAUACGCGAUACACAGUGUGUGUCUGAGCGAAAGCAUUAAGUAUCCCACCUGGGAAGUACGACC